GCUAGAUAAGAGAGAAGAGCUAUCUAAAGGCUACUCCAGUAGCUCUAGAAAGUCUGGAAAUUUAAGUAAAGUUAUAUAUAAGAUUCUUUUUGGUAGGCAGUCAUGUGAAUGAUUCCGCACAACUUUUUAAUUUGAAGUGUGGCUUUGUUUUCUCAGUUACAUACCUCAUCAAGCCGGCAGCACUCAUUCUUGUCUCUUUUUACUGCAUGUUUGCUCUCUUCAGACUUCAGACUCUGACCAUGAGGACUGCAGGGUCUGAAUAUGCAUGCAGGUAAUGGUCUCAAAAACAAAGAAGGAAUAAUGUUCUUUUCUUUCACAUUAUAGUAAGAGCUGGAUUGAUUUUAAUCUUUUUCAAACCAUGUUCAAACAAUGUUAAUUGAUGGCUCAUGCUCGCCCCCUCAAUGCUUACAUUCACCAGGAACUUGAAGAGCUUCUUACUAUGGCUACCACCUUUCCUGCCCUGAGCCUUCACUGUGCACUGAUAAUGGAGUGAUGAUUGCUUGGGCCGGAAUAAAGCACAUUAAAGCUGGCCUCCCUUUAAUGCAUGAAGGAUUUAUUUACAUUGGAAUUCAUUCCAUCAAAGUGGCCACUGGGCAAGUAUAUUUUUAGUAUUGUGGCUGAUGAAAGAAUUAAAGUGAAAGUAAAAAUGAAGUACUAAUGUACAUACAUACACACACAUUACAUGUACUCAUUAUUAUUAUCACUUUAUUAUUAUCUUGGGGCCCUGUGCUGACUGGUCUUUUUGUUCUGUACAGUUCUUAUUCUUAUCCUUGCAUGUGUAUUUUUAAGAUUUUGUUCGUAAAAUGGC